rnacentral:lncRNA from 1 species
UUUUGUUUGUGUUAGAGAGAGGGAGAGUUUUUGCACCAUGUAUAGAGAGACCACCUUGUAUUCAGAUUAGUACUUGCUUUGGGACUUCUUUUGUAUUAUCUUAUGUUUUACCUAGCGGAUUAUCAGCUUUAUGAUCUUCUUCUUGUUGUAGCACUUCGUAGUAUUUUGCCCUGAUACACUUAGAUGCUUUCCCCUUUAUUGCUUUAUUUACCGCUUUAUUUUAGACGCCUUAUAUGUUUUAGACGUACGGCGGGUCUGGACACGCGCCGGGUGGGCUUCCGCUGGGUGCCGGGGCGUGGUAGAUUAGUUUAGUAUCAGAGCCUAGGGUUGAGUCCUAGUGGACCUAGCAAACCUUAGGCCGGUUGGACUAUAGGAAAUAGGCUCGUGAGAGACGAGGUCUAUUUGACCUGUAAGCGAAAGUAUCUCGAUUGGGUAUUUUGGAUAACUCUAGGAAGUAGAGUUAAAUCGAAGUGUGUAGCUCCUAACUUCACGGAGGGUUACGUUGGCGGUCGACAACGUAACAUCGGGAGUUAGUAGUGAAGCACACUUCCUUUCUUUUUCCUGAUUUGGGUAUUAUCUUUGAGUAGGGAUGCGAUAGCGUAGGUUUGCUAACUUACGCUUUUAUGAUGUUGUAGUGCGAUGCCGACCACACGCUCCCAAUCUGCUGGAGCGAAAAACGCGGCAAAUCUGGAGGAGGUCGAGACCUCCGCUACCUCCGGAUCCAGCGAGGUCCGUGAGCGGAGGAGCCAGCUGGCAACUCUCACCGACUUGGUGACGCAGCAGGCAGAGGCGGCCCGACAGCAGACUGAUGCGGCGCGCCGACAGGAGGCGCGGAUGAAGCGCCUGGAGGACCUUCUUCUACAGCAGGCGGCAGCUUCCAGGAAGACCCAGGCCCCUACACCGCCAGCACCAGUCGUGGAUGUUGCACCGAGAGCACCGUCCCCUGCGCCCAGUUCGUCGCGAGCGGCGCCCGUAGCUGCGCCUCAGGAGGAGGGUUUGGCGGCACCACUUGUUCAGGCACCCCCGAUUGGAGCUGUUUUCCCUGUGUUGGUUGAGGGGGCGGAGUGGGACCGGCUGAUGGAGCGCCUUAAUGAGUUCAGGAUGUGCAGCCCCAGGAUUUUCGAUGGCAAGAAGGUCGACACUGGAUCGUGGAAAAGUGGUUGAUGCAUAUGGAGAAGCUCUUCCGCGAUACCUUCGUGGUUGGAUCUCCAGGAGAACCCCAGCACUGAUUUGGCAGCUAUCGCGUGGAAGAAGUUCAAGGAGCUUCUACUGGCGCACUACUUCCCGAUCAGCGUCAAGCGCAAGAUGGAGCAGGAUCUGCGCAACUUGCGCCAAGGUGAUCGGACUAUGGCCGAGUACGAGCGGGAGUUUUCUCGGCUUCUGCAUUGCGUGCCCUUCGUCGUGCGGGACGACGAGGACAAGGCCCGCAUUUUCGAGCGAGGGUUGCGACCGUCGAUCUACCGAUUCGUUCAAUCGUCUAACCUCCAAACCUACCGGGAGGUGGUGGAUCGCGCGCUCAUAGUGGAGAGCGGCGCAGCAGAGGUCCAGGAGCGACGAGAGGCCAUGGACAAAGUCAAGGCCAAGAGGCCUGUGGCUGAGGGUGCGAGCCAGACGCACUCUAGGAGGCCGCCGAAGCACCCUAAGAGCCAGCAGCGUGGACGUGGCUCAGCAGCGCAGCGAGGUGGAUCUCACCGACGCCGGCCCUCCCCGUGUGUGAUCUGUGGUGGUCUUCAUCACCCACUGCAGUGCCCACAGCGGGCGAGCAGGUGCUUCCAGUGUGGCCAGGAGGGCCACGUGCGGACUGAGUGCCCGAGAGGUUCUUCACCGGCACCGUCGACUGCAUCGGCACCGGCUCUACCAGCCGCCAGCCACGGGACUCCGUCGACACAGUACCAGCCUGGGCGGCCACCCGUCCAGCGGCAAAGUGAGGGAUUUUGGCAGGCCCCAAGUGGGCGUUUGUAUGCCGCUCAGACUGAGGAGGCAGCAGCAGCCGAGGAUGUGGUUGCAGGUAUCAUUUUACUUGAUGGCAUUAGAGUUCGUGUUUUAUUUGAUACCGGUGCAUCGUAUUUAUUUAUAGAUCGGCUGUUUGCCGAGUUGCAUGGCAUCCCUUUGGUUUCUUUGUUGCAUCCGGGACAUGUUGUAGUACCCGACCACACUUUGGAUAUUAGAGAGUAUUGCCCUAGUUGCCCUGUUCGGGUAAGAGAUUGGAUCAUGCCCGUGGAUUUGCUAGCCCUGCGCAAGCUAGGGGAUUUCGAUGUGGUCUUGGGUAUGGAUUGGCUAACCAAGUAUUAUGCCACAAUAGAUUGUAAGAAUCGCACAGUUACUUUUAGAGAACCGGGCCAGACUGAGGUUGUGUUUAGAGGAUGCCGAAGUUCGCUUUUUGCGACGUCGAUCAGCUCGUCUCGAGCUAGGCAGCUGAUCAGUCGAGGAUGUGUAGCCUACUUGGCUAGCGUUGUGUUGAGGGGUGAGGAUGACACCCCUAGGAUUGAGGAUAUCCCGGUGGUACGGGAGUUCCAGGACGUGUUUCCAGCUGAGUUACCGAGUAUACCGCCCGAUAGGGAGAUCGAGUUUGUGGUGGAUCUUAUCCCUGGGACUACCCUAGUCUCGAAGGCACCCUAUAGGAUGGCACCGGCGGAACUGAAGGAGCUGAGGGCACAGCUACAGGAUUUGUUGGACAAAGGCUUCAUUCGACCGAGCGUCUCACCGUGGGGGGCGCCAGCUCUGUUCGUCAAGAAAAAGGACGGAUCACUUCGCCUGUGUGUGGACUAUCGUGAACUUAAUAAAGUCACGAUCAAGAAUAAGUAUCCGUUGCCUAGGAUCGAUUACUUGUUUGACCAGCUCCAGGGAUCUAGUGUGUAUUUCAAGAUCGACUUGUAGUCGGGAUACCACCAGUUAAAGAUUAAACUCGAGGAUGUAUCGAAAACAGCUUUUAGAACACGGUAUGGACAUUAUGAGUUCACAGUAAUGCCGUUCGAGCUUACUAACGCCCCGACAGCUUUUAUGGAUUUGAUGAACCGUGUCUUCAAGCCUUACUUGGAUAGAUUUGUCGUGGUGUUCAUUGACGACAUUUUUGUUUAUUCCCGAAGUGACGCAGAUCACGAGGAGCAUCUGAGGCUUAUACUUCAAAUACUUCGGGAAAAGGAGCUUUAUGCCAAGUUGAGAAAGUGUGAAUUUUGGCUUCGAGAGGUAGCCUUCCUUGGACAUUUGAUAUCGGGAUCAAGUAUAGCCGUGGAUCCUAAGAAGAUUGAAGCAAUCAAGGAUUGGCCGAGACCGACGAGUGUCACGAAAAUAUGGAGUUUCCUUGGAUUGGCCGGUUACUACCGGAGAUUUGUUGAGGGGUUCGCUAAGCUCUCUACUCCCCUCACGAGGCUCACGCACAAAGGUGUCAAGUUCAUUUGGAAUGAUGCAUGCGAGAGAAGCUUCCAAGAGUUGAAGCAAAGAUUGACGACCGCCCCGAUCCUAACCCUGCCGGUGACUGGAGCAGGGUAUGUGAUUUACAGUGAUGCAUCUCUUAAUGGAUUGGGCUGUGUGUUGAUGCAAGAUGGUAAGGUGAUCGCGUAUGCUUCGCGCCAACUGAAGGAAUAUGAAAAGAAUUACCCUACGCAUGAUUUGGAGUUGGCGGCCGUAAUCUUCGCAUUGAAGUAAUGGCGCCACUACUUAUAAGGCGAGCGGUGUAAAGUAUAUACGGAUCACAAGAGCUUGAAAUAUUUGUUCACUCAGAAGGAGUUGAACUUGAGGCAGUGCAGAUGGUUGGAGCUACUCAAGGAUUAUGUAACACACUGGGCCUUUGCAAAUUGCGAGGUUCGAGUGAUAGGUUGUGUUUCGAGCUUUUUCACACUUGGUGGAGGGUCGUAGAAUGUUUCCGACCUAAAAGUUCGAAAACCUGCGUUCUGGAUGAGUCUUGAGAGUUUUUACUCUCGGGGAUCGGUCCCUGAAAGGAGAGACCGGUCCCCCAGUGAGCAGUGCUGCGCAGCCGGCGAGGCAACCGAUCCCUGGCGGGCGAGACCAGUCCCCGAGCGCGUCUUUGCAGUGAGAGACCGGUCCCGCGCAAGGAGAGACCGGUUCCCGAACGUUGGUUUUUCGGGUUCGCAGCGAGAGACCGGUCCCUUGUAGGGAGAGACCGGUCCUUCUGGGCGAAAAUUGCCCAGACCGGGCUGUUGCAAUAUUGGAUUUUUGAGGGGCCUCUUGGGAUUUUGUUACACUAGAUGGCUUAUAUGGUCACACCACCCUCUCCCCUUCUCAUUUCUCUCCUCACACUCUGCCCACACCUUUGUUAGAGAGAGAAGAAGGAGAAGAAGAAGAAGAAGGAGAAGAAGAGGAGGAGGAUCUAGCUUGGACUUGGAGCAUUUCUUUGCCUCUCUUCCUCUCCCCACCUUGUUGGUGCUUGAAGGCUUGGACUUGGAGCUUGCAAAGGAGGAGAUCUUCACCCUUGGAGCUUGGAUUGGAGCUUCUAAGGAGGUUUGUUGCUCUUUUCCUUCUUCUAGACCUUGAUUUGAGGAUUUUUAGUAAAUGGAACCCUAGAAUGGAAUUUUAGGGUUUAUUUUGGGUAUUUUGGAUCUAGGGAUUUUGAGGCUAGAUUUCUCGGAUUAGAACCCUCCUUUGGGUUAAAUUGGAAGGAUCCUAGCCUUCUUUUGGAGCUUGAGAGAGAAUUUCUACUCCCUAGGUGAGUUUUUGCCCUUUUUGUAAGAUUGUUAAUGUUUGAGCCUAGAAUUGCGCGUAAUGCUUGUGUAUCUCUUCGCUUAUCACUUUUAGGGUAUUUUGAGACUCGUGGACAACUUCUUUCGGCGAAACGAAGGACACCGUGACGGUUCGGUGGGUUUGACCUAGCCUGGCACAUGAGAAGUUCUCAUAUCCCCUGUUUUAUGCUUGUAGAGUAAAAUUUCAUGCAUUUCUAUGAUAAAUGUAUUUAUUGUGAAUUUUAGGAUGCUUAACAUGCCUAUAUUAUGUGUAAGAAAUUUCGGGCCCCUAUAUAAUAGAGGGCUACCUUGUGGGGUUUAUACAUGAUUGGCAUCCUAUUGGGACUCGGAAUCAUACUUUCCAUUGUAACAAUAAGCAUUAUCUUCAUGCAUUUUGAGCUAUUCCUAUUUGCGACAUAGAGGAUAUUAGUGAGCCAUAAAGAGGCAUAUGACAAGAUUGACAUGUGGGAUUGCGAGCUAAUGUCAUAAAGCGGCAUUGAGCUCGGGUUGUGGGUGAGCCUAGUGGAUAGGGCCAUUGAGGGAUUUAGAAUUGGAACAUGUUUGUACAUCGAAACGUCUAAGUGUCAUAAAGGGACACUAGACUUAGUGAAUAAUAGGAGCUUCACAUUGUGACUUAGAACUAGAUCCUGGAGAUGCUAGUGAUUAUUACCAUGUUAAAGACAUGAGGAUUGGGUACUUGAGACGUUGACUACGCUUGCUUGCUAUUUGUGCUCAUUUGCACAUGCUUGUGAGGGUCGCUCCCUACAAGCCGGCACUCCGGAGUUAGCCUACGCGACUUAUGUUCGCUCGUGCGGUAUUGAGAAGCCUACGGGGUCGAGUGGGACAGACACAUUCCAAGAGUAGGGAUGUUGGGCUACCACAGGCACUUAGGCGGCACAAGCUGGACUACCUUUGGUAGGUCCUUAAUUGGAAAUGGAAAUCGACAUAGUGUUGAGAAUGAAUAAUCACUACUAGAUAGGCUUAGUAGUUGGAUUACUUGACAUGCUCAUGACAUAGCAUUGGGAUAUAUAUAGUAUACUUGCUUGUUUCAUUCAUUGCAUCAUAGUAUACUGGGUUGCUUUGAUAGAGCGUACUCCUUAUACAUUGACCUAUUGCAUCGUGACGGUUACUUGUUCAUUAUGUUAAGGCAUAUUAGUAUGCAUUGGACAUAUCAUCUUAUGAUAGCGUAGAUGUAUAUCACCAUGACAUCAAGCUUACUUGAGACAUAGUAGUAUAGCAUUUCAUUUAUACUUUCUUUCAGCAGUUUUUAUACUCGCUCUUUAUUGUUUAUUAUUAUUAUUGUCGUUACUUACCCUUUUCUUUUGGGGCCUAGUGGUGCAUUGAGCUGAGGUCAGUAAUUGCCCACUGGGAACUAUAAAUUAUAGUUCUCACGCCCUCUGUUUUAUGUUUCCUUUCAGAGCCUUCCACACCGGGAGAGGCUAGGGACCGCGGGAAGGGAGUUGCUUCGAGCUAGCUUCCUUCGAGGACGAUUUGAUAGGUGGUCUACCUCUCGUUACUUUAUUUUGUGUGAGGUCGAGAGUUGUACCCGUUUAUGUAUAGAGACCCCUAUUUUUGUACUAGAGACAGAUAUUGUACUACUUUAUGUAUUACUUUUACUGUUUUAGUUAUGUUUCCUUCACUCUGGUUAUUGAUGAUAGAACUUUACUUGCUCUGAUAUCUCUGGUUAUAGGUUAUUCUUGCUUUUACUUCCGCUUUUAUUGUAGACGCUUUGUAUGUGUAGACAUAUGGCGGGUCUGGGCACGCCACCAGGAGGGCCUCCGCCGGUCCCGGGGCGUGACAGAUUACGACUUGACUAUUCUUUACCACUCGGGCAAGGCUAACGUGGUGGCGGAUGCGCUAAGUAGGAAAUCAACUGAAAACUUAGCGAUGCAUGUUGUUACUCAACCGCAGUUGAUCGAGCAAAUGAAGUGGUUGGAGUUGGAGGUGGUGACUCCUAACACACCUUUGAGAUUGAUGACCUUGGUUGUGCAACCUAUACUCUUGAAUAAAAUAAAAAAGAAGCAACCUUCCGAUAUGGAGUUACAAAAGAUUAAUGGUAAAAUGGUUAAUGGUUGCACCGGCGACUUCCUUGUAGAUGAUCAAGGACUGAUGCGUUUCUGUGGACGAAUUUGUGUACCGGCGGAUUCGAAAAUUAAAGAGGAUAUUCUUCAAUAAGCGCACCGAGCGCCCUAUGCUAUACAUCCGGGAGGCACCAAGAUGUACAAGGACUUAAAGUUGCUUUAUUGGUGGCUCGGGAUGAAAAAGGACGUUCGCGAGUUUGUAGCUCGUUGUCUAAUUUGCCAACAAGUAAAGGCUGAACAUCGAUUACCCGCGGAAAAACUUUAGAGUUUGCCUAUUCCCGUGUGGAAGUGGGAGAAGAUCACCAUGGAUUUUAUGACAGGAUUGCCUAGCUCUCAGGCCGGGUAUGAUGCUAUAUGGGUGAUCGUGGAUAGGUUGACAAAGUCGGCGCACUUCAUACCUAUUCAUACUACUUGGACCAGAGAGAAGCUCGCGCAAGUGUACCUUGAUGAGAUUGUACGGCUUCAUGGAGUGCCUACAUCGAUAGUAUCUGAUCGGGACACUCGGUUUGUGUCUCAUUUUUGGAGGAGUCUGUAGGACGCAUUGGGCACCCAACUGGACUUCAGCACGGCUUUCCACCCUCAGAGUGACGGACAGUCGGAGCGCACCAUUCAGACUUUAGAGAAUAUGCUCCGAGCUUGUGUGAUAGACUUCUAGGGAGGAUGGUCGCAACAUCUACCGAUGGCGGAAUUUGCUUAUAACAACAGUUAUCAAGCAGGCAUCAAGAUGGCGCCAUUUGAAACACUUUAUGGACGGAAGUGUAGAUCGCCACUUCAUUGGAGUGAAGUUGGCGAGAGAUUGGCAUUAGGCCCUGACGUGCUCCAGGAAGUUGAGGACAAGGUUCAAAUUGCUCGGGAGCGACUUUUGACGGCACAGAGUAGACAAAGGAGCUACGCCGACUGACGACGGCGAGACUUGGAGUUCCAAGUAGGAGACCAUGUUUUCUUGAAGGUCUCGCCGACUAGAAGGAUCAAGAGAUUUAGGAUUCGGGAUAAGUUGAGCCCCCGUUUCAUUGGACCGUAUGAGAUCUUGGAACGGGUAGGUCCGGUAGCGUAUCGACUUGCUCUACCACCGAACCUAUCUGGCGUGCACAAUGUCUUUCAUGUAUCGGUUCUUCGGAAGUAUGUCUUCGACCCGACUCAUGUGUUGGAUGCUACACCUGUGGAGUUGCGGGACAAUUUGAACUUCGAGGAGCAACCCGUGAAGAUUUUGGCUCGCGAGGUGUGGAAACUGCGGAAUCGGGAUAUUCCGUACGUGAAGGUGCUUUGGAGCAACCACGGGGAGCGGGAGGCCACGUGGGAGCUAGAGAGCGCGCUGCAGGAGCGCUAUCCCCAUCUUUUUCAGAUUGAGCCUUGAGGUAUGUGGUUGUUUUGAGUUUCGCGGAUGAAACUCCUUUUUAGGAGGGGUGAAUGUAACACACUAGACCUUUGCAAAUUGCGAGGUUCGAGUGUUUGAUGUGUACUCCGAACUUUUUCACACUUGGUGGAAGGCCGUAGAUGGUAUUACGGCCUAAAAGCUCGAUCUCUAGAGUUUUGGCAUGUCCUGAGAGUUUUCACUCUCGGGGACUGGUCCCUGAUGUGAGAGACCAGUCCCCUCAGCUCAGUGUUGCGGCAGCUGGCGAGGCAACCGGUCCCUGGCAGGCGAGACCGGUCCCCGAGCGCAUCUGUGCGGGGAGAGACCGGUCCUGUGCGGGGAGAGACCGGUUCCCGAACGUUGGAUUUUCGGGAUAGGCUGAGAGACCGGUCCCAAGUCGGGGAGACCGGUCCCUCUGGGCGUAAACUGCCCAGACCGGGCUGAUGUGAAUUUGAGUUUUUGAGGGGCUUUUCUGGAUUUUGUUGCACUAAAUGGUCUAUAUGGCCCUUUCACUCUCUUCUCUCCUCAUUUCUCCCCUUCACACCCAUUCUAGAGAGAGAAGAAGAGAGGGAGAAAGAGAGGAAGAAGAAGGAGAAGGAGAGGUUCUUGCUUGGAGGCCUUGGAGCACCAUCUUCUUCCUCAUUUCUCACCUUUUGGAGGCUUGGAGCUUGCCUUUGGAGCUUGGUGGUGGACCAAUCUUCAACCUAGGAGGAUUUUGGACUUAGUUUGGAGCUUCCUAAAGGUAUAUGACUACUUCUUCUCCUCUAGAUCCUAGUUUUGGAGCUUUUUGGUUGAAGAAACCCUAGAUUGGGAUUCUAGGGUUAGAUUUGGGGCUUUUUGGAUUUGAGGGCUUUGAAACCUAAUUGAUGGGUUUGGAACCUUUAAUUAGGUUGGAUUUGAAGCACUCUAACUCCCAUUUGGAGCUUGAGAGGAAAUUUCUUCACCUAGGUGAGUUUUUCUCCACCCUAGCCUAUAUUGCUUAUUGAUUGAGCUUAGGGUUGAUCGUAAGAUUUGUUUGACCCUUGUUCCUACAUCUUUAGGGUGCUAUGAGACUAGUCGACACCUUCGUCGGGGCUUACGAAGGGUUUUGGCAUCAUCGGUGGGUUUGGCUUCAUGAACACAGGGCAAAAUGGCCCCUAAGUUUUCUAUACUUGUCGUAAAGUAUUUUUGAAUGCAAAUCCAUACUAAAUAUGAAUUAUGUGAAUUUUAGAACACUUGAAAUGCAUGCCUUAUGUAUUCAUGAAAUUGCACUCUAUAUAGUAGAGUUAUAUGUGUAGACUGCAUGUAUUGUGAAAGGUGGAUAGCUUUGUAAGUUGAGAACAUGUCUCCUAUGUUUGAAAUGAGUAGAAUUAUGUAUUCAUGAAUAUAGAUACCAUGGUUGGACUCAUUGAACAAUAGUGUCAUGAAGAGGCACUUGAAACUAGUAAACUAUGAGAAUGCAACAUAGAGACAUAGUGAUAGGCCAUUGGACAUCGACUAUAUUCCAUGUUAGAGACAUGACGACAUAGUGAUAGGCCUUUGUGACAUUCGAUACUUUCCAUGUUCAUAGACAUGAGGACUUGAGACUUGAGACAGACUUAUACGCAUGCUUGCCAUUGUGCUCAUUCGCACAUGCUUGUGAGGGUCGCUCCCUACAAGCCGGCACUCCGGAGUUGGCCAUCGCGAUACGUUCGCCGUGCGGGAUUGGGCGCCGAAGUGGAUUGCUGUGGGAAAGGCUCAUCCCUAGGGUGGGGAUGUUGACUACCACGGGGCCAUUAGGCACGGUAAAGCCAGACAGCCUUCGGGUGGGUCUUAUGCCAGACAGCCUUCGGGUGGGUCUUAUCAAAGUUGAACUGUAAACAAUUAAAGUGACAAGUGACAUUGACUAGAAUAGUAAACAAUGACAUCUUUACUACCUACAUUGUGGACAUUGGAUUAGUUGCGUAUUUAUGCAUUUGCAUGUUGGAUACUCUUGUGCACAUACUUGUAGUAACUGCCUUCUUACUUAUGCAAAUCAUGCUAAGUAGAGAUAUCAUGGUUGAAUAGUAUUCAUAUUUAUUUCCUAGUUGUUCUUAUCGCUUUGGCUUAUACUUGUACACUGACCCACUUUUGUAGUUUUGGGCCUAGUGGCGCAUUUCACUGAAGUCAGUAAUUGCCCACUGAGAGCUAUUAUUUAAUAGUUCUCACGCCCAUAUUCCUAUGUUUUCUUUUCAGAGCCUUCGGCACCGGCGCAGGCACGGGAUCGCGGCAAGGGUGUCGCGUAGAUAGCUCGGGAGAGAGUCCGUUUUGCGAUAGGUGGUUGCUCCUUUUGUUUGUGUUAGAGAGAGGGAGAGUUUUGGCACCAUGUAUAGAGAAACCACCUUAUAUUCAGAUUAGUACUUGCUUUGGGACUUCUUUUGUAUUAUCUUAUGUUUUACCUAGCGGAUUAUCAGUUUUAUGAUCUUCUUCUUGUUGUAGCACUUCGUAGUAUUUUGCUUUGAUACACUUAGAUGCUUUCCCCUUUAUUGCUUUAUUUACCGCUUUAUUUUAGAUGCCUUGUAUGUUUUAGACGUACGGCGGGUCUGGACACGCGCCGGGCGGGCUUCCGCUGGGUCCCGGGGCGUGACAGUAAUACACUGAACUUUUGCAAAUUGCGAAGUUCGAGUGUGAGGAAUGAUAUGUGGAUCUAUCCUACAUAUUUUAAAAGACUUGGACAAGUUUUUGGACAAGUUGGAGAGUAAUUGGAUGGCUAAAAGCAAGAAAAUGCAUUGAUUUGGCGAAAUCAGCAUUUUUCUGCUUGCUGUACCGGUACAGCCAUUACCUUGUACCGGUACAGACUGGCAGAAACGU